CUCUCCCGUGUCUCUCUCAGGUUUCUGGCGGCCACUUCCUCCUCCCUUUCCCGUGCCCGGCGCUCAGAGACCUCCAGCUCCAGCUCCCGUUCUUGAUUCACCCUCCUCUCUCUCAUUCUCCGUUUUCUUCUGGGGUCAUCUCUUUCUUCCCUCUCUUGCUCCUCUCGGAUCUCCCUUUCCCUUUCCUCAGAUUCCAGCUCCCGUUCCUGCUUUGUUCUCCGUCCGUAGCCGCGUUCCUCUGGCUCUGCUCUCCCACAUUCCCCGAGGUCGAUCUCUAACGGUUCCUCCAGGUACGACUGAUGUGGCCGCCUGGACUCUGGACAUUCCAGCUCAGCCGCCCGGCAGCUUCUCCCUUCCAGCUCUCUUUGUUCCAGCUCACGCCGGCGGUGGCGGCUCCUCUCUUCCCGGAGCAAUUCGGGUUCCCGUGGCCGAUUGUCACCUUCUCCAUCUGCUCCUCGUGGCCACUGGGUUCUUUCAUCACCCCCUGGCUCCUGGCGGCUCCACCUGUCCAGCUGUGGUUGGGGUUCUCGGCGUUGCCUGCCUGUCCUCACGUCUGCCAGUUCUUCCUCCCGGAGCCCCUCCCGGUCUCUCCUCUCUCCCUCCCGUCUGUCUGGCUCCGGGGGCUGCCGCCUUCUCCGGCUCUCCCGCUGCUCGCACGGCUCCUGGCUCCGUUCCCGGUGUUCCCGAGGGAUCAGCUCCCUGCGUGGUUCCGCGUCCGUCCUGCUCCGCGUGCGAUGUUCCUGCUGAUCCCUCCUCGUUUCCUCCGAGAUUUCCACCUCCCUGACCCUGAGGUCUCCUUGCAGCUCAGCUUCACCAUUCCUCUCCCAGGUUUGUCGUUCCUCCUCCUCCUCCUGGAGCUGCCGGCGGUUCCCUCUGCUCCUGAAUUCCGGCUCCCGCAGGGAUUUUCCGCCGGUCGGGAUCUUUGUCCUCUGCACCAGGAACGGGGCCCUCGGCUGGAACCAGAAGCAGCACUUGGCCACCCGGAACACCAGGAGGAGGAACUCGUUAAAAUCGAUGUCCCCGUCCCCAUCCCACUCCAGGAACUGCAGGAUCUUCUCGAUGGUCUGAGGGUCGUGUGGCUUCUGCAGGGAAAAAACACGGUGGGGGAAAAAGGGGAUUUUUGUCUUCCUGCUCCUUGGGGAGAAAUGCAACAAUGGGAAGAGUCAUAGGAAUUCUCCUUCCAUCUCUCAAAAUCUCACUUUUAGGGCUCAGCACCAGCUGUGGGAAUUCAUUCCCCAAAAUCCCCCCUGGAUCCCCCUUUUCUCCAGGCUGAGCCCCCCCAGCUCCUUCAGGGUUCUCCGUUCCCUUCCCAGCACAAGCAAACCCAACCUUUGGUGGAACCCUCCCCGUUCCCUUUCCAGAGAGGAUUUUGCCGUUCCCACAUCCCAGCCCUUCCCCGCUGCGCUCACCACCAGGGAAUCUGCGAAUUCCCUCUGGAUGAGCUCCCUCAUCCUCCUGCGGCUGAGCCCGGAGCCGUCCCCAUCUCCCCGGGCGUGCUGCUGGAAGACGCCGACGAUGGUGGCGAUGCUGUCCAAGAACGGGGACAUCCUGCAGAUCCGAGCGAGCCUGCGAGGGACAGGAGCAGACCAAGGGCUGGGGGAAAUCCUUGGGAAGAGGGAGAGGAAUUCCUGGCUCCGCGUUCCCCUCUGGGAACACAUUCCGGGGUUUUAGUGGGAUGGGGAGUGGCCUCUGGCCUCGCCACUGACGCGUUUGGGUGACGUCGGAGCGGGAAUGGUGACGGGGAUGCGGUGAUGGGGAGGGACCCGGCGGUGCUGACUCAAGAGCUGCCCCCAGAUCCUGCCCUGUGAGGUUGUCCCAUGGAAUAUUUCCUUGGAAUGGACCCUGAAUGGAGCCAGUCCAACCCCUCUGCUGUCCAGGGAGGUCUCUAAGGUCUCCAUGGAGCUUCUCCUCUCCAGGUGAACCCCUCCAUCUCUCCCAACCUUCCCCCAGCCCUUGGAGCAUCUCCAUGGCCUCAUUCCAGAACUUCCUGGUGUUCCCAAGAUCCAUCCCCGUGAUCCCGGUGAGGGAAGCUUUAACCCAACCCAAGACAAGAUCUGGGGCAGAGACCUCAAAAGCUGCGUCUGGAAACCUCCAAAGCCUCCUCCUUCCCUCCUUCCUCCCUUGUGGGAUCCCCAAGCCUCCUCUGGGGAACCUCCGUGCCCGAUCUGAUCCCGGGGAGCUGCGCCGUGCCCGAUUCCCGCCUCCGGAACGUGCCCGGGCACACGAGCACUCCCUGCCCCAUGGAAACGCCGGAAUUUCCAUGGAGAAGGGGCCGCUGCUCCAGCUGGGAGCUGACCCCACACCCAAGGAAGCCCCUGGACUUCUCCCAUAUUCCCUUCCCUCAAGGACAACCCAACCCAACAAUUCCAACAGGGACAAACCCCUUGAUACUCCCAAAAACUGCCGGGAACGACUCUCCCGUCCGCCGUGAAUCCCGGAGAAACACCAGAAUUCCCACCCAGGGGAACAUUCCCGGCAAAGGGAACGUUCCCAAGGGAGCCACUCACCCGAGUCACCGGCGGGAUCAAGUGGGAUUCCUGGGAAGCCGUGCGGAGCGAGGCGAGGACGGGGCUGCUUUUAUAGGGUCCCCGUUGGGGUUGGAGAGGAGCCACCCUUCGUGGACGUUGUCCUGAUUCAUCCUGGGCCAAGCCCAGUCCCAAACGGGUUAUUUGGCUUUAUCAACCCUUCCCUAUCAUUUUCACCCCGAAAUAGCAGCGGCUCUUCAGGCCGGUUCCGCCUAAUCCUGGAAAAUCCUGGCUGUAAAAUCCUUUUACGGUCGCGUUUCGGAUUUUUUGGGGAAAUCUGGAAGGGCUCCAGAGCGUGAAUGGAGGAGGGUGGAUUUCAAUGUAAAUAUUUGUGUUAUGGGUGGGAGUUGAUGUCUUCAACGCCUGCAAAACCACAUGAAAAUAGGAAUUAAUAUUUAAAUUAAAUUAAUUAAAUUCAUUACAUUAAUUAAA